rnacentral:rRNA from 1 species
UGGGGAAUUUUGGACAAUGGGCGAAAGCCUGAUCCAGCAAUGCCGCGUGCAGGAUGAAGGCCUUCGGGUUGUAAACUGCUUUUGUACGGAACGAAAAAGCUUCUCCUAAUACGAGAGGCCCAUGACGGUACCGUAAGAAUAAGCACCGGCUAACUACGUGCCAGCAGCCGCGGUAAUACGUAGGGUGCGAGCGUUAAUCGGAAUUACUGGGCGUAAAGCGUGCGCAGGCGGUUAUGUAAGACAGAGGUGAAAUCCCCGGGCUCAACCUGGGAACUGCCUUUGUGACUGCAUAGCUAGAGUACGGUAGAGGGGGAUGGAAUUCCGCGUGUAGCAGUGAAAUGCGUAGAUAUGCGGAGGAACACCGAUGGCGAAGGCAAUCCCCUGGGCCUGCACUGACGCUCAUGCACGAAAGCGUGGGGAGCAAACA